rnacentral:rRNA from 1 species
UACAGAGGGGGCAAGCGUUGUCCGGAAUUACUGGGCGUACAGCGCGCGCAGGCGGACCGUCACGUGCCGUGUGACAAGCCACUGCUCAACAGUGGAGGGCCAGGGUACACGAGCGGUCUGGAGGCAGGGAGAGGAUGUGGAAUGCCCGGUGGAGCGGUGAAAUGCGUAGAGAUCGGGCGGAACACCAGCGGCGAAGGCGGCAUCCUGGUCCUGUUCUGACGUGAGGCGCGAGAGCGUGGGGAGCGAACUGG